UCGAGUGUCAAAUGGCCCAACACACUGCAACUAUCAGUUCCAAAUCUUUCUUGUUUCUCUUCAUAGCUAAUUCCUGGAGCCAGCAGCUUCACAUCAUCAUCAUAAAAUCUUGUCAAUUUCCAAACCUUUCGAGCAAUCUUGCAAUCCAUCGAUCUGCACGAUUGGAGAAGAAUAGAUGCAGCAUGGACCUAUUCAUAAUUCCUUCAACUCUCUACAAAAAAGCAAAUUGCAACAAGGAAUAUAAGGUGAAGUUAUAGACUGAACUGGUAUAGAUGCACAAAGUGGAUAACUAGUAUGAUGAUGCAGCAUAACAGAUUUUGUGGGCAUAGACGGACCUCAUUUGAUGAUGCCAACCUGAUUUUUAUGAUAAGGCAAAGAGUCACAGAAUGUAGUUUGCUAAUAAUCACUUGUUUCCACAGCAUAGGCCUUGGGGCCUUGGCUGAUCCUACGCAUGCAUAUAUACUACAUAUCAUUACAUCAUAUCAACUGAAAGUAGAAUUGGCAUUGACCUGUAGAUAUCACUUCAAGGAGAAAAUGCGACAUUUCUCUUGGGCUAAUUCAGGAGAGCCUGAGCCAUGAAUAAUGUCAUUACCUUAUCUGGCUAAUGUUUUUCUCUAAUGCUGGAUAUAUUAAGACGGGAAAAAGGUUCUAGAGGAAAUCAUGCCAUUAACCAGUAGAGUUGCCUAUGAUUGAUAUUGAUAGGCAUUCCAGAAGCAGCCAAUCACCAAAUCUCACAAGACAGUGGACCUAUAAACAACAUAUAAACCAAGUAUGAAGAACAUCACAAAAUAGGAGCAAAAACAACCAGUGGGGAUGCGUCAUUAUAGCCUCACGGCAUCAGUAGACCCAAUUAAUACAUACCAAUCAGGAAGAGCAUUUCCUGUUUUCAAAACCAGCUGCAAUAUUUGGCCAUUUGCAGCAAACAAUGAACUUUGGCAUCUAAGAUGCUACCUAAACAAGUGCAUUCAGAAAUCCUUAUGAUCAGAUUCAGAGCUACAUAAAAAUCUAGGCAACCUGGCAAUUAAGCAGCAUCAUAUGCUACUUUCAAUGCCCAACAUCUAUCAAAUACAGAACAAUGCCUACAACUAGUUAGGUCCAACAACAAGGGUCUUUCAGAAAAUUUCAAAAACUGGAAUUGCUUAUGAAAGCAGCUGAUUUUGGAUUGCCACAAUGGACCAAUAAUCUGGAGGAUGGUAAUACCUUAAUGUGUACUAAUAAAUCAAGCAUCGGCACCACCUUCAAACCAAUGUCUGAUUUCGUACCAAUUAGUCUAGGUAAACAACUAGUCAUCAGGAACAUCCAAAGAAUGACUGAUUAAAGCUACAUAGUGCAAAGACAAUAAUGAGGAGUUCAAUUUAAUUGACAUCAGUCAUAAAGAACCUCUUACACAUAAAAACUACAGAGGAGUAAAAUAUAUCUUGUCACGUGUCAACCAGAAAGGAGCUCCCUGGAGAGUGAUCUGAGUGUGAGGUCGCCGGACUCGAGCCUCACCAUUUUGAUACCAUCAGUAUAAAUCGAUCGGGCUUUACCAUAGCUGUUAUUUUCUCUUCUCUCACUUCCAUUGCUCAAAGACCUACAUUGACCUGGACAUUUUAAGGCUAGAGGUUAGUACGAAAACAUGCCUACCGUUUUCCACAUUGAUCAAGAUUCAGAUUACAAAUUCAAUUCUACACCCAUGUUACCCAUUGUUACCCUACAUAUCCUUCCGUUGAAACAUAAGAAACAUAAAACUUCUCUAUGAAUAUAACUUAUCUAAACCAUAUAGUCCAUGAAAAAUGGAAAAAACAAUGGAACUUCAAUUUCUGCAGCUCCAUCUAACACAACUAAUACUGCCGAGAGAGCAAUUUAUCAAUUCUACUUCUAAACACUACAUAAACAGAAAAAACAAAAAAGGUAUUAGAAUGACAAAUUUGACCACGUUUCAUUCUGUUAUACCCGUAUGAUAAGAAAUUUUAAGCUUCAAAUAUAAUCAUUUUCUCUCUUGCUUUACUGCAUAUUCUCACCAGCCAAACAAUACCCUUUUUGCUUUCCUAACAUAUUUUUUACAAUCGAACACGCUGACAAUGAAGAGUCAAUCCACCAAAUUACACUCCGCAAAUUAUUAUUUUUAUAUAUGAAAAUCAAUACGAAUGAAGAAAUGAAUAUAAAAAACGUGCACCUUGAAAGUUCUCUUAAAUGCAGAGAAUUCACUGCAUGGAAGAGAGUUAUACUGCAUUGAAGGACAAAAUGAAAAAUGAACGAUUCAUUCAUUCUGUCAAGAGUUGGAUAUUGGAAACUCGAAGCUGGCUACACACAGCGUUUUGAAACGUGGGUGCAGUUGUUUGAUACUUUUGAAAGACUAUUAUUGCC
rnacentral:lncRNA from 1 species